rnacentral:lncRNA from 1 species
ACCCCAUCUGUAAGACCUGAUAAUGCCUCUUAGGAAAUCAUAGAAAAAUAAAAUACAAUAAUAAUCAAUAACUUGUACUUUGUACAAAAAUCUCAUUAUGUUGCUCAGCAGGUAGUUUUGCCAAACCCCAUAUUCUUUCUGCAAAGAGAUGGCAUAUGUGAUGCAAUUCACCUUAAAAACACUCUAAUGUUGAGAGCUGAGCAUUCUAUUACACUAUUAACUUGUAGGCAUGCCAGCACAUGAAAAUUUACAUGAAACAUCAUAGUAUCAUAGGAAUAGAAUCAUAAUAAUAAAGAAAAGAAGAUAACGCCACUUUUCAGUAAAUAAUAACAACUUCACGUCUAAUGUAAAUUCCCCUUGGGACUGCAAAUCAGUAGGGUAAGCUUUUUAUUCCACGGAUAUUCCUACAGUACCAUUAUAAACAGGCAAAAAGAAAAUGCAGUGGGAAUUGUGUGGGAGAUGUAUGAGGUGAAGAAAAGGAAUUUUGGGGAGUGAGGCAGUCCCAGGGGGAAGCACUGACACUGGCUGUGCAUUGUCAUUAUUCAGAUACGUCUUGGUUAAAGAAGCAAUGGCAAAACAAACCUUAGCAGGGGUCUUUAAAGAAAAGGUGGGUUUCAGACUACUGGUAAGGAUAUGAGAUCUGCGCUGAGGCCAUGGUUUGAUUUUGUAAAAUAAUUUGCAAGUAUUAUGAUUAUACCAUUGCUUUUGAAGCCAUCUACCUCUGAAGUUUUGACAUGGCUGCUUAAAUAUAUAAUCUAAAGUGUCUGUCAUCAAAUAUUUAUUCAUAUAUACACAUACAUUGAUACAUUUUAUGGCUAUGCUAGAACAGCAAACUAUGAAGAGCAGUCAUAUUUAGUUUUGUACAAUCUAAUUUCACAGAAGAGACAGAGAUUAAAACCCCUUUUAAUUCAGAUACAUUUAAAACCAACACACAGAAAUAGAUAGAGGCUAUCCUGAAAAAACAUACCAACCACAUUAUCUUCCAAAAGUAAACCAAAGCUAAUGUUUGGAAGGUAGCAAAAUAUUAUUUUUGUAUUUUUUUUUUUCUGAAAGUCAAAGUGGUUUUUCUUUAAAAAGUGAUGACAAAAUGAAAACUGUUAAUUCCAACUAGAUCAAUGAAUGUUGCUUUGCUAUAAAAUAAACUAUUGCCUCUCAGUAAACAGGGUUUCACAUGAUCUUUUAAAGAUUUUUUUUUUUCUUGCUAAAUUGCAGGCGCAAUCCUGAGAAGUGCAGAGAAGUUCCCGAAGUCAGUAGGAUUUAAACCACACCAGAGAAGAAUGAGCCCUUUUUAUAUCUCUGGGUGUUCAGUCACGGCAGCGCUGCAUGUGAUGUAACUGAUACCACCAGAGAAUGUUGAUAUUGGCCUCAACAGAAGCAGAUGGAAGGCUCUGGGUAAGAGCAACAAACACUGAAUCCCGUCACCAGAGUUAACAAAGAAACAACUUUUUCCACUUUUAGUGUGAAAUAGACCUCUCAACCUAACUUAGAAGAGUUGAGAGAAGAAAUUGCUGCAGAAGAAGUGGUAGUAAAAACACUACACUGCCAAUUCAAAGCUCACUGUUUCUUGGACAGAGGCAAAUAGGGAAUCAUGGCCAACAAGCUGUAAAAUGCUCACAGGUUUCCUUAUUAGGAAUCUUGGAGUGGGAUGGUUUUCUUCAGAUAGAGAAAUAGUAAAAGAAUCCAAUAAAUGGAACCAACUAAGAGGGCAUUUGUUAUUUUAUUUGCUAUUGUGCCAUUCAUUAACUGGCAAAUCUGAAAACUUAGACUGCAGUGCACCAGGAGUACGAAGCAGCUUGUUCAAAGAGACAAAUCAUCAGCCAGCACUUGUAUUUUGAAAGGGAGAUCAUAUUGCAUCCUGAUUUAUGUUUAGGAAAGAAGAAAGAUAGAAAAUUCCUAUUUGCUUUGGAGGUUU